UAGGGAAUCUUCCACAAUGGGCGAAAGCCUGAUGGAGCAACGCCGCGUGUGUGAUGAAGGCUUUCGGCUCGUAAAGCUCUGUUGUUAAAGAAGAACGUGGGUAAGAGUAACUGUUUACCCAGUGACGGUAUUUAACCAGAAAGCCACGGCUAACUACGUGUCAG
rnacentral:rRNA from 1 species